rnacentral:rRNA from 1 species
GAUGAACGCUGGCGGUAUGCUUAACACAUGCAAGUCGAACGGUGUCUUCGGACACAGUGGCGGACGGGUGAGUAACGCGUGAGAAUCUGCCAUCAGGUCUGGGACAACCACUGGAAACGGUGGCUAAUACCGGAUGUGCCCGUAAUUGGGUGAAAGGUUAACUGCCUGUUGAUGAGCUCGCGUCUGAUUAGCUAGUUGGAAGUGUAAUGGACUCCCAAGGCGACGAUCAGUAGCUGGUCUGAGAGGACGAUCAGCCACACUGGGACUGAGACACGGCCCAGACUCCUACGGGAGGCAGCAGUGGGGAAUUUUCCGCAAUGGGCGAAAGCCUGACGGAGCAAUACCGCGUGAGGGAGGAAGGCUCUUGGGUCGUAAACCUCUUUUCUCAGGGAAGAACACAAUGACGGUACCUGAGGAAUAAGCAUCGGCUAACUCCGUGCCAGCAGCCGCGGUAAUACGGAGGAUGCAAGCGUUAUCCGGAAUGAUUGGGCGUAAAGCGUCCGCAGGUGGCAAUGUAAGUCUGCUGUUAAAGAGUCUAGCUCAACUAGAUAAGAGCAGUGGAAACUACAUAGCUAGAGUACGUUCGGGGCAGAGGGAAUUCCUGGUGUAGCGGUGAAAUGCGUAGAGAUCAGGAAGAACACCAGUGGCGAAGGCGCUCUGCUAGGCCGUAACUGACACUGAGGGACGAAAGCUAGGGGAGCGAAUGGGAUUAGAUACCCCAGUAGUCCUAGCCGUAAACGAUGGAUACUAGGCGUGGCUUGUAUCGACCCGAGCCGUGCCGUAGCUAACGCGUUAAGUAUCCCGCCUGGGGAGUACGCCGGCAACGGUGAAACUCAAAGGAAUUGACGGGGGCCCGCACAAGCGGUGGAGUAUGUGGUUUAAUUCGAUGCAACGCGAAGAACCUUACCAAGGCUUGACAUGUCGCGAAUCUCGGUGAAAGCUGAGAGUGCCUUCGGGAGCGCGAACACAGGUGGUGCAUGGCUGUCGUCAGCUCGUGUCGUGAGAUGUUGGGUUAAGUCCCGCAACGAGCGCAACCCUCGUUUUUAGUUGCCAGCAUUAAGUUGGGCACUCUAGAGAGACUGCCGGUGACAAACCGGAGGAAGGUGGGGAUGACGUCAAGUCAGCAUGCCCCUUACGCCUUGGGCUACACACGUACUACAAUGCUCCGGACAGAGGGCAGCAAGCAUGCGAAUGCAAGCAAAUCCCGUAAACCGGAGCUCAGUUCAGAUCGCAGGCUGCAACUCGCCUGCGUGAAGGAGGAAUCGCUAGUAAUUGCAGGUCAGCAUACUGCAGUGAAUUCGUUCCCGGGCCUUGUACACACCGCCCGUCACACCAUGGAAGCUGGUAGUGCCCGAAGUCAUUACUCCAACCAUUCGUGGAGGAGGAUGCCUAAGGCAGGACUGGUGACUGGGGUGAAGUCGUAACAAGGUAGCCGUACCGGAAGGUGUGGCUGGAUCACCUCCUUUU